rnacentral:rRNA from 1 species
AUUGAACGCUGGCGGCAGGCCUAACACAUGCAAGUCGAGCGGAUGAAGGGAGCUUGCUCCUGGAUUCAGCGGCGGACGGGUGAGUAAUGCCUAGGAAUCUGCCUGGUAGUGGGGGAUAACGUCCGGAAACGGGCGCUAAUACCGCAUACGUCCUGAGGGAGAAAGUGGGGGAUCUUCGGACCUCACGCUAUCAGAUGAGCCUAGGUCGGAUUAGCUAGUUGGUGGGGUAAAGGCCUACCAAGGCGACGAUCCGUAACUGGUCUGAGAGGAUGAUCAGUCACACUGGAACUGAGACACGGUCCAGACUCCUACGGGAGGCAGCAGUAGGGAAUAUUGGACAAUGGGCGAAAGCCUGAUCCAGCCAUGCCGCGUGAGUGAAGAAGGUCUUCGGAUUGUAAAGCACUUUAAGUUGGGAGGAAGGGCAGUAAGUUAAUACCUUGCUGUUUUGACGUUACCAACAGAAUAAGCACCGGCUAACUUCGUG